GGCUAACGCUGGCGGGCGUGUCUUAGCCAUGCAAGUCGAGCGGACUUAUGGGGUAACUUAUAAGUCAGCGGCGGACGGCGGAGUAACACGUAGCUAACCUACCCUCUGGACGGGGAUAACCUACCGAAAGGUGGGCUAAUACCCGAUGUAGUCAUCCUGUAUAGGGGUGAUGAAAGGUGGGCUUCUGUUUACAAGCUCAUGCUGGAGGAGGGGGCUGCGGCCUAUCAGGUAGUUGGUAGGGUAAUAGCCUACCAAGCCGAUGACGGGUAGCCGGCCUGAGAGGGUGACCGGCCCGAGGGGCACUGAGAUACGGGUCCCACUCCUACGGGAGGCAGCAGGCUAGAAAUUUGGGCAAUGGGGGAAACCCUGACCCAGUGACGCCGCGUGCAGGAAGGAGCCCUUCGGGGUGUAAACUGCUGUCGUGUAGGGAGAAGGGUACUAAGGUGAACAAUCUUAGUACUUGACGGUACUACAGGAGGAAGCCCAGGCUAACCUCGUG
rnacentral:rRNA from 1 species